rnacentral:rRNA from 1 species
CCUACGGGUGGCAGCAGUGGGGAAUAUUGCACAAUGGGGGAAACCCUGAUGCAGCGACGCCGCGUGAGUGCAGAAGUCUUUCGGUAUGUAAAGCUCUAUCAGCAGGGAAGAAAUAGCGACCUUUGGGUCGCCAGACGGUACCUGAUUAAGACGCCCAGGCUAACUACGUGCCCGCCGCCGCGGUAAUACGUAGGGGGCAAGCGUUAUCCGGAUUUAUUGGGUGUAAAGGGGGCGUCGACGGCAGCGCAAGUCUGAAGUGAAAUGCCGGGGCUUAACCCCGGAACUGGCUUUGAAACUGUGCAGCUAGAGUGCAGGUGUGGUAAGUGGAAUUUCUAGUGUAGCGGUGAAAUGCGGAGAUAUCA